CAGGAUCCUUCCCCUAGUCAAAAUGGAACGUAUCAACCCUUGGAACAUUAAGUGCCUCAAAUGUUACAAUCUCUAUUUAACCAGCUGCCAUUCUCCACAGGUAUAAUUUACAAGAACACAGAGUCAGAGAAAAGCAAAUUCAAGAAAUAAUCACAGCUACGUAUCAAGAACAUCUACUUUUGGAGCAGCUGGCAUAUACAAGAAAUCACAACAGGAGAGCAUGCUGUUUCAGCAGAGAUGCUGCAAUUUAAUCUGAAUGCUAUUUGAGCACAUUGAGAGCAGGAGAUACUGACUGCUCAAUAUCUAUGGCAUGAAACUGGCCUACUUGGAGGAAGUGGCAAAGUGAUACUGGAUUCUAAACUUCACAGCAUUCCCAGGUUUGCAGGCAACUGAUGCAAGAAAUUAAAUACCUGACCAAGCUUCAGGCAGAGACAUCCUUCAGGACUCAGCCAGUCAAGUCAGUCUUGAUGUCUCUAAACUACUUUUGUUGAUGGUCAUUGAAGUCCACACCUGAAUUACAUUCUGUCAUCCUGCUACUUUCAAUAUUUUUUUCAAAUGGUGCUCACCAUGGAGGCACAUUAAUUCAUUAACUGGGAAUUCAAGGAACGGGACAAAGUCAUCCAGCAAAGCAGAUGGGAACAUCACAAUGUGCUCAGAAAUUAUCUUUGGCACUUAAGAUUAGGUCUAUGUCCAUGUACCUCUGUUGAAAUAAUCAUAGGAGAGGGGGAACAGCAGAUGGUUAAUUUCUACAUGUAUUAAUAUUUUUCCUGAAAGUAAACAUAUGUAUUUAUCUUUGCUGACCAGUUAUACUCUUUCCCUAAUGGUGAAGCAGCUUCUAAUAAGAUCUAAGGAAACCUUCAUUGUUCAAUGCUGCUGCUGAUUUUAAAGAGGUGUCAUCUGCAUUAAAUGUCAAACUUGGAAUUAGGGGAAAUCAAUCACUGAAGUUCGAAAAUAAAAUGUACACAAAAACAUAUGACAUUGAGCAUAGUACACAGUAACUCUUGAAAUGCUAUCUAAUUGUAAUUAACUGUGGUAGCAAAUCAUAUCUCAUUACUUUUGAUUUUAAUAGGUUGUUUAUAUCAUUAAUGAAUAAUCCAGACUGUUGGACUUUUAGCCUAAAGAUUUUGAGUUCAAAUCCCAUUAUGGCAUUUUGAGAAUUUGGAAGAAAAUCAGGAAAUAGAAAAGCUGACAUCAGUAAAACUGUGAAUGUGGGCACUACCCUCACUCACCUUUGGCCUGAGAUGCCCCAUCUAUUGGGUGGGUGCAUUAUUGGCAGCUGCCAAGUCUCCUAGUAGUGCUGACAACAAUGUGAUGCUGCCUUAGACUGAUUGGUAGACUUCCAUCCCUGGGAAGGCCAAUGAAUGACCAUUUAAUGCCUGACAGGCUUUUCAUUCAUGUUGGAUCUCUCCCAUGGAACUGAGAGAGAUACUCAGGCUAUCCAGCUAUCACUUAAGAACAUGAUUGGGCCUAUUAAAUCCUGCUUGAUGAAGCUAUUGGAUUAUCAUAAAGACAAAUGAGAUUAAUUAAAACAGAAAUUGCUGUAAAACCAGCAGUUGUUCAUUUAAAAAUAACUCCUUUGUUUUCUCUUUGCCUUUCUGCCAUUCUAAGUGAUAUUCUCCUGGAUGGUAAGAAUGUCUGUGUCCAAAGUCUUUGCCAAUGUCAGUCCGUAACCAUCUGCUGGAAAAGUGAUAAAGUUGACUUGUUCCUUAAUUUUAUUCAGCUCACAGGAAAGAUUCUGCUUUUAGUGUUUUGUAUUUUUUUUUCUUUAAGAGUCUUCUUCCUUUUGAAAUCUAGGAACUUUAUCUCCAAGGGUAUGGCUUAUGCUUAGAAAAUUUCCAAACGUAGCUUUUCUAACGUAAAACAACAACAAAUCAACUGUUGUACAAUAGUCUAGUGCUGCAACUCAUCCAGAUCAAACUAUGUCCACCCAUCUGCAUGAGUUUAACUUUCCUUUUACCACUUACCUCAACUGGGAUUUCCACCACAUUUAGUCUGUGAUCUUUGUCCCUGUACAUAUAAUUUGUGAAAAUUCUAGAUUAUAGAUAAAUGCAAAUGGUUUAAAACAGAUAAGUCCUGUGUGCUUGAAAAGUGGAAGCUUAGGUCCAUGUGACUGUAUAAUAUCUGACCAAUUUGCUUCAAAGCCUUGUCUGAAUUAUCUGCUUGAAAUAUACAAUUGAUUAAAU